rnacentral:lncRNA from 1 species
UCAACAAGUCUGAAUCCGUUGAGGCUCUUAAUAAUGUUGAGGAUGUCGUCAUGGCUCAAACCUCGAUCCUCCGCGAACUUGCCGGAGUCGGAUAUCUCUUCGUUCUUCUCCAGAUAUCUGAGCACGGCCUCUUCCGCCAUAUUUUCUUUCUUCCUCUUUUAGGUUUAGUUGUCGUACUUGUUUACUUUGUAAAAACCCCACGUCGUCAGCGGCGCCGUGAAUCGGAAUGCCAAAAAGCCGUCAAAUGACGGAUGCUAGGGGUAUUCCAAGCUACAGGUGGGGAUAGCGUUGGUGCAGUGUAUAUUGUAGUCAAAAAGGUUUGCUCAGGGCUUUGAGCUGGUACGUCUCACUGUGAAUUACAUUCAGCAACCCGCCAAAAUAGGAUAAUUUACACAACGCUCCCCAAGAUCUCACUUAAUUUCACUCUACCUCUGAAAAGCACGUAAAGUUUUAUUUGAACGGGAAAUAGUUAAAUUAUACUACAUUUUAAAAAAAAAAAAUUGAGAAAGAAAAUAUUAAAAAAAAUCCUUAUUACAAACUUAUUGAUAUAGUAAUAUGUUUUGUUUUUAUAAAAUCAUGAAACUCGUACGUUCUUAUUAAAAAACUUUACAAUCCUGUCAAAUUUUAUAAUCUUAUAAAAACUGGCCUGAAUUUAUUAGUAAAUCAAUGUGCGCUGAUUUCCAUCAUCGCUAUAUGUAGUAAAUGUGAAAAAUUAAGCACAUUUGAUUGAAAAGACUUUAUAUAUAAUCUACUUCAGCCAGCACAAUGAACCGACCAGCUGGUGACCAGUAAAGUGCAUUUGCCUGCUUGCCCUUGAUAGUUGUGAGUUUUGAAACCCGACCAGUAUUAUGAGCAGUCCGCAUUGAGUAGAAACUUAUGUCAGGCCUAGGGUUAUCGCCAUGAAUAACUGCAAAUCUAUGGCCCUUUGGCUCCCAAGCAAAUGCAAUAAUCUUAUCAUUCUUAUUCUCAAGUUCCAAUACUUCAAUGGGAAUAUCUCUCUCUUUAAUUCUGAAAAGCUCAAACCCAGUAUACGUACUCUUCUUUGUUUUUGUGUACCGAUCAACUUUCACAGCCAGGUAGUCACCAUUGCUUUGCCAAUACAUUUUGCAGUCACUAACACUAAAAAGAUUCUUCUGCCUCAAUUCCUCCUUGCUUGGGAUUUGCACAAGACUUACCUAUUAUUAGAUUGUAAACUAUUAGCCUUUAGGGGGCAAAAAAUUACCUUCACAGAGUCAUGACACAAGGAAAAUUGCACCUGAGGAAGUAAAGAAACCUAAGAUCCACGUGCUAUUAAGAAACAUGAAUACCUUCUAUUUGGUGAAACUCAGCAAGAUGAGUCCUAUCAACAGCUUCAUUUCGAAAAACACGAUCUAUUGAAUAGUACUUCUUGGGAGCGAAAGGUUUCUGCAUACAAUCAUAGUUCCUUAGAUGAUAUUACACUGGCUGUCCACUAUAUGAAAAAUGCAGAAGCCAUUACAGACAAAACAAUCAUAAAAUAUGCAGGCAAGUCAACCCACUCUCACACCUGCUCUAUCCAAACACAGACAAAUACACACACACACACAGAGGGGGGGGGAAGAGAGAGAGAAAGAGAGGCAGAGAUUUUAUAAUGCACUAAUUACACAAGUAUUUCCAAGAAAAGAAUCACUUCGCACUAAACAAACUCACAACCAACUCUAAGCAUAUCUCAAUCUGCACUCAUUAUUACACUGGAGAUAACUAUGGAGGUUAUUGGGUCAAAUUUUGGUAUUGAAAUCGGAAUUGGAAUCAUAGACCCCACUACUGAGUAUGGGGUUUGGUUUGCAAGUCGAAUGGGUAUCAUUCUGUUAAAGAGCUCAUUAAUUUUAAACCCAAGUUUUGAGUGGGGAACAAUAGGUGGUAAGGUCUAAAACAUUCAUUCUAAUUGAAUGAUUCCUAUAGCAGUCGAUAACAUGUAUAACUCCGAAACCGGUUCCUACACCUCAUACCCAUUUAUUAAACAACCCCUAAAGCACAGACCUUCACAUACAAACUUACAUGAGCAUAUACAACAUUUUUGGAAAUAGAUAAAAAGGAGCUGGGAACUUUCAAGAUGGGAAAAAAAAAUAAAACCUGUGCAAGCAAGUACAGCAUCCGCGAAGAAACAGCAGUUGUAUGAGUCCUGAGAAGAUUCUUAUUUGCUUCCUCCCUUUUCCACUCAUAUCCAUACCUACAAAGACAGCUCUACUUAGAUGCAUUCAGUGCUGAAUAUAGAAUGGUAUUACAAGUAACUUUUACUAGCAUACCCUCGAGACCCAUAACCACCAUUUUCAUGAACUUCCUUGACCCGGUCCACAUAAUCUUCAGGCAGUGUCUUUGUAGUAGAAGGUUCUGUAAAUUUUAUGAACAUGCAUUUAUUAGAGAAAAUCAGAACGGACGAUAAACAUCCUAAGAUUAAAACCAAACCAACCUUUCAAGAAGAAUGUAUCAUGUGAAUCACGCGCAGGAUGUUGCUGUGGCUGGAAAAGCGCAUCAAAAUUCCAAAAGCUGCAACAUUGGAAAGAAUUUUUGUCAACUAAGAUUCAAUAACAAAACUACUAUUAUUUCUAUUACUUGAAAAGCUCCUCCAUCAGUUAAUAUAGAAAGAAGAAAAACUGUGGCACCAUUUUUUAUUAAGCAGAGCAAUCUCCAGCUUUGCUGACACCCAAUUGCAUAUUAAAGGAAGUAUCUAUUUACCGACAAAUCUCCUCAUAAUUAAAGGCCAUAAUAAUUACAAAAGGAAUCAUCUCCCUGUUCCAUUUUCAAAACCAGUCUUCAACAUUUACUUGCUACACUCCUGGUGACAACUCAUGAGAAGUGUGUCUACCACCCACUGCUAACCCAAAAGCUGAGAAGAAACUCCCCAAUCACCUCACACUUCAUAAUUGAGAACAAUGGGCCUCGGAGAGCUAUAGUAAAUUUACUUGUAUUCAUUUAAAUUCAUUGAGCAAUAUAAGAGAAGCUCUUCAGUAGAAAUGGCUUCAUAUGCCUCAUAAUAAGGAGGGGUGAAUCACAGUUUAAAUGUGAAAAUAGCAGCUGCAGGUUUUAGUGUCUCAAACAUUCUUUAUUUUCAUCACUUUCCUCUAGCUACUAAACUAAAAAUUUUGUCAAAACCUUGAGAAGGCUUUCUUUAGCUGAGGAGUAAGCAUGCAUUUGAUAAUCUACCUGCUUUCCACAAAAUUAUUUGUUGGCAUCUCCUCAAAUCUGCACAAAGCAAAGCAAUAACGAAGGUGCAGGCCAUAAAAAAACUCUUCUGAUGAAGGCAAAUAUAUAGCACGAAUGCAACAUCAACAAAAUGACCAGGUCAUACCCCAUCUGAAGAAAAAUCAUCUGUACUUGACGCCGUACCUAUAGCAAAUGUAAAAACAACAGCCGAUUAGUAAGCGCACAGAACAAUGCUACCUUAUAAAUGACUGUUGAAGUUGAUUAUUGAUGGCUAAUCACUGCAAGUGCUAGUUUUGUGCCUAACGUCAGAGUUAGUCAUUUAUGAAAUUAAUAUUCAGCCCAACUGCAACACCAGCAUACAGUAGGUUAUCCUAUAAUAAGAGACCACAGGGAUCCUUGAGUAAUGAAACAUAAACUCAGUCGUCAAAGAAACAACCAGAAAUUACACAAGUAGUUACUCAGUGGCAAGGAAUGUCUCAUGCAUUUUAGUAAGGUACACCUCACGAGUAUCUCUGUGCCUAAUAUUCAGUAAAUUCUUCACUUAGAAAUAUGCUCACAAGGAGAAGAAUUUUUUCUGCAUCCUAGUAAAAGGCAGAGACUUCAUAAACGGUAUGAAUAAAGGGUCUAAACAAGCUAUUCAAUCACCUCAACUUCAAAGGCCCAGCCAACUUUUCUAGGAUAAGCAAAACCAAAACCAGAACCAACUUUAGUUUGCAAUGCAUAACUCCUCAUGCUUCAACUUCAGGGAAACUAAUGAACAUAAGCGAAAGAGAAAAACCGGCAAGCAAAAUAAUGAAAAGCUAGCGAGACAGACAGAAACAAGGGAUUCCUGCCUUGAGCAACGGAUGUAGAUGACCACCUUCAAGUGGUUGACCUUUAGCACUGAAGUUGUACUCUUUAAACUCCAAUUCCUUCCAGUCGCCCCUUCAAGGACAAAAUAAGAAUAUGAGAACCCACCAGCCAUAAAAGCAUGCUAAUCCCGAUAAUAUCUCAUGUUGAUAAACUAAUUCAUGUAUCCUUAACCUCCCAAUCAUGAUAAAGCAAUAAAACGAUAUGACAAUACACAUCCUUGCUCAUGGAUUGAAGAUAUCACAGAGACACAUAUCUCUGUGAUAACGGACAUAUUGUGCAAACAAAAACCAAAAUUUUGUACAAUUAGCUAUCAAAGGUAGUUGACAUUAAAGACAUUCUCAAUAAGUAUAUGGUACAAUUUUAUACCAGCCAAGCCCAAAUUGCUCAAUUUCCUAGUUAUUUAUUUUGCAAAUGUAAAAAUUGAAAGUCUGCAUACAGUUUCCUUCAAAAGCAUAUCAUAGCAAGAAAAGCCUACUAAAGUACACAUAUGUAGGCAAAUUCAGGUUCCCAUCCAGCAAAUCAACAAUCCAAACUCAUUUUCAUUCUAUAGUAAGACACCAAACCAAAUUAGAUACUCAUCUACAAGUAUGAAAAUUAUUUGCUCUCUGAAGCACAUGUGAGCAAUUGAAAGCUAUCAAAUUUACUUAAGUAGGAACAUUUAAGACAUUCCAGCCAAUACGCACACAAGUUGAUAAAAGUAAAUUCACAAAAAAAGCCAUUUUAUUGUAUAGCUCACAAAUGAGAAACAGCAUGAAGUAUUACCAAAAAUUUACACAGUCAUCCAUCUCAACUAGCAUGAAGAGAAAUCUUUGCAUUCUUAACGAUGACUCACAGCAGUCAUUUUGACAAAAAACAGAUAAGCAUUUAAUUACCUCUGUAUAUUCUCUCGUGUAAGAUCAGUGGCAGCUUUUUUCCUUUUCGGAGCAUAUUUGGGACCCUUUCUGACUGAGUAACCUUUCCAUAUUCUAUAAAAAAAAAAAGUAAAACAUCUCAAAAAAAGGUAAUAUACAUCCUAAAGGUGCGUCACACAGAAUAAGCAACUUAAUAUCUCCAACGUAAAUAAAUAAAUGAAUAUGAAUUGCUUAAGACAUUACUGUUGAGUAAUAAGCUUUCUUCUUUUAAGAGCGUCAAUAUCCUCCGAACUUACUGCCUGCAAUUACAAUACCAUUUGCAGCAUAAAAGAUUAGUACCUAAUCGGCAGUGAAGUCCAAAUUAUAGUAGUCAACAAAUAGUAUUUAUUUUCUGAUACAUCAUAAUUUGUUAUAGAGCAACCUUACUUAGACAGCAAUAAACCUAAUUCAAUGGUUUAAUUAGACUAAGGGGUCAUGUCCAGAAAAGAAAAAAGCUCAGUCCUAAAUAAACCCACUUAAAUUGACAUGCUACCUUGUGAUAACUUGUUUAGAACAAUGUUGAAUUGCAUCACCCACUUGUAGUUAACAGAUCCACAAUUUGGCUACAUAAUCAACGUGAUUUGUUAAAGAAAAGCUGAAUGCUAACACAAGUAAAAACAAUUCACCCUAAGAUAGCAAGCUACUUCUUUCUUCUUUUGUUUCAAGUUUUUAAAUGAAAAAUCUAGUAAUUAAAGGCAACAAAAUGUUGAAUAUUAACACCAUGACUAUACAGUACAUUGUUAAUCAUUUGGCAGUAUGUUGUCAACUUACACAAGAACUAAUAGUUCAAACCAAUGUAAUUUUACUAAGAUAGGCUAGAACAAAUCCUGUUCUUGCAGCUUAAAGCACUAUUUGGAUAGGUAAAUGGCAAAUGAAAAUGGAAGCAACUAAUUCACCAAGGGAGGAGGAACAGAAAAUCCAAAAACUAUUAAAUGCACGAAAUACCAAUCUAAAACUAUUGAAAAUACUAAAUACCUCUCCAUUUUGGAUCUGUAGAAGUAAAAUUUUAAUUUUAUCCUCAACUUGCUGAACCUGCAAAGUGUUGAAUAAGACAAAAACAUAAGGGUUCGCAAUCAACAACAGAAGCUGACAGAGACUAUAGAUCUUAUCUUUUACUUCCACAUUUAAUAAUUUUUACUAGUGCAUUUUGGAUCCGUAAAAGUAAAAAUUUAACUUUAUCCCCAACAUGCUGAACCUGCAGUACAUUGAAUAAGACAAAACAUAACGAUCCACAAUCAACAAUAGAAGCCGAUACAGACUAUAGACCUUAUCUUUUACUUCCACAACUAAUAAUUUCAAAUAAAUGUCAAAUAGUUUUUAGAUGCAGAUACACCUAUUAGAACCUAAGUAUAGGGGUGGUCAUUAACACUGGCCCUUCUCUUGGACUCAAUGGUGAUAUUGUUAUCAGGAAAUAUAGCAUAAAGUUGAAAAUAAAUUGACAGCCAUGUAAUUCACAAUUGUUCCAUGCCAAUCUAAUUGUUACCUUUCUGGAAACUUGUGACUUUCCCAUCUCGAUCCAUUUAUUCUUUAUGGCCUGCUGGGAACCGAUCUUGAAAAUAGAGGACUCCAGCUUUUUCUGCACAUACGGAUAUCCCAUUUCACAAGCAUAUCUUCCAUAGUUAAGUAGACCCAAAAAAGGACCAAAAUUCAGAUCAGAAUGUCAUAGUUGCAGCUUGGUUGGUUUUUGUUGGUGCCAGAACUUUGAAGUUGCUUCACAACGAUACUAUAGGAGUGACAACUGAAGUUACUGUUUCCUAUAAGGGUCAAACCAAGAAACGAAUGUCUUGAAGACAUAAAGCACCAAAGCAAAAUUCACUCCAUACAGCAGGAUCAAACUCCAAACCUAUAAGCUCUAGGUCAAGUAACAGAAAAUAUAGGGUUUUGCAGGAAUUUGAUUGUAAAAUCAGUAUAAAAAAAAGAGAGAAAGAAAGACAUGCAUGGGAAGAAAACAUAAAAGGACUGUAGAAUACGAAUAAUGUCAAGCACAGUAGCGCAAGACCAAUGCAGAAAGCACCCAAAAUAUGUAAUCAAAUAAUGUUUGACAACCUGCAAGUCUUCCCGCAAUACCCUCCUCCGCUGGUAUAGCCAAGAAGAGUUGGACUUCGGGAGAUCCAGCUUCAGCAUACUUUUUUCCCUCAUCCGUGAGCACCCAUCUCUCCUUCUUAAUAUCCUGCACAAUUGGCAUGCAGCUAAAGUAAAAUCCCUAAGAUUUAAGUUCAUAAACCUCAAUUAGACAAUUUUUUGGCAAGCUUAAAAAAGGUACUGCUUAACAAGCAACUCAGGCACUUAAAACUAAAAUGGCAGAUACACAUGCCUAAAUCCACCUACCUUUGGCAUAUUAAAAUGAUCAUCAUCACAAUAUAACCAGAACAAUUUCCUGUAAUUCAAAAUUAACAAGAAGAAAAAACAAAAUUUGCUCCACAAAUUUUUUGCAGAACAUUAGGCCAAAAGCAGAUAAGGAAUCUGAAAAGGUGAUAAUUGACAAGCUACGAUAACUAAAAGAGUCAGAAAAUGCCAACCCAAAGAAAAAAAAAUUAGAGCUGCCUUUCAUAAAGUAUUUUGCCAGCUUGAAUAUCUCAAUUGAAAUUCCCAAAACUAAACUGAUUUUAUAAGGUACAUUUCUCUUAAACUUCAUCAUUUGAGCAAUCAACAGACAGAACUGUCUCUCGAUCUUUCUUUAUUCUCAAUCAAUUGGAGUAAAUAUCAAUUCCGUUCAUCUCAAGUUCCAAUGACCUAAAUACCUAAUUAAAAAAUAAGCGUCUUCGCCAUAAAAAAAAAAAAAAAAAAAGCGCCAAGCAUGCAUUUUUUUUACAGAUAAUAAACAUAAAAUGGGAAUUCAUACCUGAGCAUCAACAAGUCUGAAUCCGUUGAGGCUCUUAAUAAUGUUGACGAUGUCGUCAUGGCUCAAACCUCGAUCCUCCGCGAACUUGCCGGAGUCGGAUAUCUCUUCGUUCUUCUCCAGAUAUCUGAGCACGGCCUCUUCCGCCAUAUUUUCUUUCUUCCUCUUUUAGGUUUAGUUGUCGUACUUGUUUACUUUGUAAAAACCCCACGUCGUCAGCGGCGCCGUGAAUCGGAAUGCCAAAAAGCCGUCAAAUGACGGAGGCUAGGGGUAUUCCAAGCUAGAGGUGGGGAUAGCGUUGGUGCAGUGUAUAUUGUAGUCAAAAAGGCUUUCUC